rnacentral:rRNA from 1 species
GAUGAACGCUGGCGGCGUGCCUAAUACAUGCAAGUCGAGCGAACAGAUGAGGAGCUUGCUCCUCUGACGUUAGCGGCGGACGGGUGAGUAACACGUGGAUAACCUACCUAUAAGACUGGGAUAACUUCGGGAAACGGGAGCUAAUACCGGAUAAUAUAUUGAACCGCAUGGUUCAAUAGUGAAAGACGGUUUUGCUGUCACUUAUAGAUGGAUCCGCGCCGCAUUAGCUAGUUGGUAAGGUAACGGCUUACCAAGGCAACGAUGCGUAGCCGACCUGAGAGGGUGAUCGGCCACACUGGAACUGAGACACGGUCCAGACUCCUACGGGAGGCAGCAGUAGGGAAUCUUCCGCAAUGGGCGAAAGCCUGACGGAGCAACGCCGCGUGAGUGAUGAAGGUCUUCGGAUCGUAAAACUCUGUUAUUAGGGAAGAACAAAUGUGUAAGUAACUAUGCACGUCUUGACGGUACCUAAUCAGAAAGCCACGGCUAACUACGUG